GCACCAAAGAUAAAGAGAAAUAAUAAUAAUAAUAAAAAUUGUUGAUGUAGAAAUCUAGUCGAAAUCAUUACUAUGACCAAGUGACUACGUCAACACUUGAAUUUGUAGUUUUUAGGGGCGACGGUGUUGCUUGAACUUGUUUUCUUCGAGUAGAAGUUGACUACCAUGAACACUCUCACUUCACUUGCAAACACAAUGAAAAGUUGGGGUGGUGUCGGAUGUUUUUCCGACAAAAACUCUCCGACACUCAAGCCAGUUCUCGAGUCUUGGAAAAAACUUGCGCCACGCUUCCUUUGGCUCAAUUGUAACUAUUUGAAGUAAAGAUGUUAAUUCUCCACAGGAAAAAAAAUAAUUCAAAAAGAUAAGUUUGAUAAUCAGAGCGACAGAGUUUCCCCCCAAAAAGAACUGUCUUACCUUGGUUUAGAUUUUGUAGGAUUUUUAUAAACAGUCGAAGAAGUUGUGCCACCAUUAACUUGUAGAUCUUAGUGGGUUGUUUGAAUGUGUCUGUUGAGUAAUGGGUGAGUGCAUCAGUUACUAGACAGUUGGAGGGUUGGCGUGGCAAUUGUCAUGGCAUGGGCAUCGUGCUUGAUUUUUCUGAGACAACUCGCCGGUUGACCUUUGACCAAAUCUUUGGAUUGACAUAAUUUUUGCUCUUCUCACGGAUUUUUUGAUCAUCCUCACAUAUGCGACCAGAUGAAAACCUUCUCGAGGCACCACUCCCCUCGAAGAUUGCUUAUAGAACAAGGAGGUAACAUUAUGCUCAGACGUUUAUCGGGUAGCGUUGUUUUAACCACCCAAACAAUAAUCAUAAAAGGAAAGAAGCUCUGGGUAUGGUAAUCUCAUUAAUUGUUCUUCCUCGUCAGAAUUUAAAAUCGAGAUAUAUUAUAAUAGAUAAUUUUACUGUAAGUGUCUUAUGUUUUUUAGUUCUUUAAGACUAUUGAAGAUCAACUAAGCAAUACCGCAAUUUGAAUAUUUGAGGCUAGAAGAAAAUUACCAACCCCACUGAUUCACUCAAGAGUUUAGAAUCCCUUUCCAUUUGAGAGUAGGGGUUAAUUGUUU
rnacentral:lncRNA from 1 species